AUUGAACGCUGGCGGCAUGCUUUACACAUGCAAGUCGAACGGUAACAGGUCUUCGGAUGCUGACGAGUGGCGAACGGGUGAGUAAUGCAUCGGAACGUGCCCAUGAGUGGGGGAUAGCCCGGCGAAAGCCGGAUUAAUACCGCAUACGCCCUUAGGGGGAAAGCGGGGGAUCUUCGGACCUCGCGCUAUUGGAGCGGCCGAUGUCGGAUUAGCUAGUAGGUGAGGUAAAGGCUCACCUAGGCGACGAUCCGUAGCUGGUCUGAGAGGAUGAUCAGCCACACUGGGACUAGAGACACGGCCCAGACUCCUACGGGAGGCAGCAGUGGGGAAUUUUGGACAAUGGGCGCAAGCCUGAUCCAGCCAUGCCGCGUGAGUGAAGAAGG
rnacentral:rRNA from 1 species